CCUACGGGAGGCUGCAGUGGGGAAUAUUGGACAAUGGGCGAAAGCCUGAUCCAGCCAUGCCGCGUGUGUGAAGAAGGCCUUCGGGUUGUAAAGCACCUUCAGUGGGGAAGAAAGCCUUGGGGCUAAUACCCUCGAGGAAGGACAUCACCCACAGAAGAAGCACCGGCUAACUCCGUGCCAGCAGCCGCGGUAAUACGGAGGGUGCGAGCGUUAAUCGGAAUUACUGGGCGUAAAGCGCGCGUAGGCGGUCUGAUAAGCCGGUUGUGAAAGCCCCGGGCUCAACCUGGGAACGGCAUCCGGAACUGUCAGGCUAGAGUGCAGGAGAGGAAGGUAGAAUUCCCGGUGUAGCGGUGAAAUGCGUAGAGAUCGGGAGGAAUACCAGUGGCGAAGGCGGUCUUCUGGACUGACACUGACGCUGAGGUGCGAAAGCGUGGGUAGCAAACAGGAUUAGAUACCCGGGUAGUC
rnacentral:rRNA from 1 species